UUGCUUUGGCAGCACAAAUACUAAAAUUGGAAUGAUACAGAACAGAUUAGCAUGGCCCCUGCACAAGGAUGACAAUGCAAAUUCGUGAAGCGUUUCAUAUUUUA